CCCUUAGAUGUUCUGGGCCGCACGCGCGCUACACUGAUCAGUGCAACAAGCAUCCGUCCUUGGCCGACAGGCCCGGGCAAUCUUUGAACGCUGAUCGUGAUUGGGAUAGACCUUUGCAAUUAUGGGUCUUCAACGAGGAAUUCCUAGUAAACGCAAGUCAUCAGCUUGCAUUGAUUACGUCCCUGCCCUUUGUACACACCGCCCGUCGCACCUACCGAUUGAAUGGUCCGGUGAAAUCUCGGGACGGCGGCUUGGUCGCUUGCGUCCGACUGCUGAAACUUGAUUAAACCAUAUCAUUUAGAGGAAGGUGAAGUCGUAACA
rnacentral:rRNA from 1 species